rnacentral:rRNA from 1 species
UACGAAGGGGGGCUAGCGUUGCUCGGAAUCACUGGGCGUAAAGGGUGCGUAGGCGGGUCUUUAAGUCAGGGGGUGAAAUCCUGGAGCUCAACUCCAGAACUGCCUUUGAUACUGAAGAUCUUGAGUUCGGGAGAGGUGAGUGGAACUGCGAGUGUAGAGGUGAAAUUCGUAGAUAUUCGCAAGAACACCAGUGGCGAAGGCGGCUCACUGGCCCGAUACUGACGCUGAUGCACGAAAGCGUGGGGAGCAAACAGG